rnacentral:rRNA from 1 species
UACCGGCAGCUUGACAUUACCUUUAGAAGAAGCACCGGCUAACUCCGUGCCAGCAGCCGCGGUAAUACGGAGGGUGCAAGCGUUAAUCGGAAUUACUGGGCGUAAAGCGUGCGUAGGCGGUUCGUUAAGUCAGAUGUGAAAGCCCCGGGCUUAACCUGGGAACUGCAUUUGAAACUGGCGGACUUGAGUUGAGUAGAGGGGAGUGGAAUUUCAGGUGUAGCGGUGAAAUGCGUAGAUAUCUGAAGGAACACCAGUGGCGAAGGCGACUCCCUGGACUCAAACUGACGCUGAGGUACGAAAGCGUGGGUAGCAAACAGGAUUAGAUACCCUGGUAGUCCACGCUGUAAACGAUGUCAACUAGCCGUUGGUCCUAUUUACAGGAUUAGUGGCGCAGCUAACGCAUUAAGUUGACCGCCUGGGGAGUACGGCCGCAAGGUUAAAACUCAAAUGAAUUGACGGG